AGAAAGAAAAGAAGAGAUUUGUAGGAAACAAUGAGAAGCGUAUAGACACAAAAAGUCUCUUCAAAACAAUGCCGAUAAAAAUAAGCAAAUAGUUCCAACCUCAACCAGAGAUCCCUCGAAUAACAGAUGCCAAGAGGCAACAGAGCAAUACUCUACAAUAGAUGAGUGUAGUAUGUUCCGAGUUGAUUUUGAAUCCCAUGCAACAAACAACUUAAUUCCAACCAGAUUGCCAAUCGGAUCAGCAGAUGACCAAAACUACAAGAGUGCGAGAACAAAUUUCAACAAUCAAAUCAACACGUGGUCCGCUAAAAAAAAAAUUGGUAUAGUGCAUUAUUCGAAGAACAAAGAGAAGAGAUUCGUAGGAAACAAAGAGAAGCAAAUGCAUGGAAAAAGUCCCUUGCAAGUGAUGCUGAUAGAAAUAAGCAAAUGGUUGUAGCCUCAACUAGAAAUGCCAA